rnacentral:rRNA from 1 species
GACGAACGCUGGCGGCGUGCUUAACACAUGCAAGUCGAACGGAAAGGCCCUUCGGGGUACUCGAGUGGCGAACGGGUGAGUAACACGUGGGUGAUCCGCCCUGCACUUUGGGAUAAGCCUGGGAAACUGGGUCUAAUACCGAAUAGGACCGCAUGCUUCAUGGUGUGUGGUGGAAAGCUUUUGCGGUGUGGGAUGGGCCCGCGGCCUAUCAGCUUGUUGGUGGGGUAAUGGUCUACCAAGGCGACGACGGGUAGCCGGCCUGAGAGGGUGACCGGCCACACUGGGACUGAGAUACGGCCCAGACUCCUACGGGAGGCAGCAGUGGGGAAUAUUGCACAAUGGGCGCAAGCCUGAUGCAGCGACGCCGCGUGAGGGAUGACGGCCUUCGGGUUGUAAACCUCUUUCAGCAGGGACGAAGCGCAAGUGACGGUACCUGCAGAAGAAGGACCGGCCAACUACGUGCCAGCAGCCGCAGUAA